AUGCAGCGGGAAUCGCCGCGGCGGGCCGCCGACCUGCAGCCGGAGCAAGACGCCGCGGGCCGUCGACCUGCAGCGGCAGCCACCGCGCUGGGCCGAGGAGCUGCAGUGGGAGCCGCCGCCGCGGGGCGCCGAGCUGCAGCGGGAGCCACCGCGCCGGGCCGAGGAGCUGCACCGGGAGCCGCCACGCUGAGCUACUGCUGCCGGGGGCCAAGGUGCCGUUGUCGGCAUCCUCCAGUAGGUUGGGGGAAGAAGAACAGAGUAAAGGCGUUGAACUGGGGAAAAGGUGAGCUGGUCGAUGGAACUCACACACAGCAGAGAAGAUAA
rnacentral:rRNA from 1 species